UUGACGGGCCCGUCUUCCCCCCAGAUGAAACAGAUGAAACAAGAUGAAACGAGAUGAAACGAGAUGAAACAAGAUGAAACGCCAAGUACGGGCGCAGAUGGGGCCGAGAUGAAACGAAAUGAAACAAAAUGAAACAAAAUGAAACAAAAUGAAACAAGAUGAAACAAGAUGAAACCAAAAUGAAACUCGAAGUACGGGCGUAGAUGGGCCGCGAAUGAAACAAGAUGAAACAAGAUGAAACAAUGUAUGGGCGUAGAUGGGGCGCACGCGACCAUGUACCACGCGUGCACGAGCGAAAAGAACUGAAUCCAAUCAUUGAAAUAAUUUUGUUUGCAGAGGCAAUUCGCGCAAGGGAGGGAUAGCAAUUUGAUGGCUUGCGAGUGACAGCACGAGCCGAAUUUAUUGCCCGUGGAAGUACCCACGAUAGAAAUACACUGUUGGGAACAUGGUGGCGCCGCUGACGGUACCUAUGUAAGUGGAGUUACUUUAUUGGAAGUACCCACGACGGGGAAAAUAGUCUCUCUAGUAUUGUCGGUGAAUGGCGAUGGUGGUGGUGGCGAUGGCUACUUUCCUCUGCUCAGAGAGAACCCCUGCAUGUCCUUCGUCGUGAUGCGAAAGAGCAGUGGAUGCAGAAAAUGUCUCUACCUGCCAGGAUGGUAUAAGAGCACGAACUGAAUCACCUGUUGGUGCAGAAGGCUUGGAGGACUACUUUUGAAACAGUUGUUCAAAUUUCCUGCACCUCUUUGUAGCCGUUGUCUGAUUUCUGCAUUCUGGGGAGACUGAAGUUAAGAAGCCCUCACCGAAACCAACACUACGUUGCUGUGUUGUUUUCUUCCAAGGUCGGGCACAGUAAAGGAGACGACUCUGUAUCAAGGCACUACCCAGAGGGAGGAUGUUGGCCUUCUCCUGAUGGGAAAAUGUCUUCUUUCUCAUGGCGUGGCCAGGACUGCACUGACCCUACCAUCCACUCUACCUCUCCGGAAAGGGACUUGACAACCAGUCAAGAUGGAUGUGCAGAGAUAUACCAGCGCUUCUAGCAUUAACUGCCAAUUUGCACUGACGCAGCAAGACUCCCAACAGUCAAAAAAUGUCUCUACCUGCCAGGAUGGUAUAAGAGCACGAACUGAAUCACCUGUUGGUGCAGAAGGCUUGGAGGACUACUUUUGAAACAGUUGUUCAAAUUUCCUGCACCUCUUUGUAGCCGUUGUCUGAUUUCUGCAUUCUGGGGAGACUGAAGUUAAGAAGCCCUCACCGAAACCAACACUACGUUGCUGUGUUGUUUUCUUCCAAGGUCGGGCACAGUAAAGGAGACGACUCUGUAUCAAGGCACUACCCAGAGGGAGGAUGUUGGCCUUCUCCUGAUGGGAAAAUGUCUUCUUUCUCAUGGCGUGGCCAGGACUGCACUGACCCUACCAUCCACUCUACCUCUCCGGAAAGGGACUUGACAACCAGUCAAGAUGGAUGUGCAGAGAUAUACCAGCGCUUCUAGCAUUAACUGCCAAUUUGCACUGACGCAGCAAGACUCCCAACAGUCAAAAAGAAUAAUAUAGACGUGCAGAAAAUGUAGGAGGGGCGAUGACAUCAGAAGGACACUCUCAGGUUCAGGGUACCUGUACUGCCCCAAUAAAGUGGGUCAGAUCCCAAAACGAGGUUGGCCGAAGCAAAAAAAAUAGAAGAGCCUGCCUUGAACUGAAUAUGAGGAAGAAGAAGAAGAAGACGAAGAAAGAGAAAGAGUAGGAAUUUGUUUGUGUAAACUUUGUUUCCUCUGUCUAGGCUGCCAUCGCAUUAUAGCAGCCAACAGUGUGUGUGUGUGUGUGUGUGUGUGUGUGUGUGUGUGUGUGUGUGUGUGUGUGUGUGUGUGUGUGUGUGUGUGUGUGUGUGUGUGUGUGUGUGUGUGUGUGUGUGUGUGUGUGUGUGUGUGUGUGCAUAUGUGUGUGUGUGUUUGCGUUUGUGUGCACACGCUUGUGUGUGUGUUUGCAUGUGUGUAUAUUCUGCUAAUCUUGACUUAAAUUUCCACAUCUGGGCAGAUUGUGUUCUGUAUGUGAAUUUAUCUUCAUUAACUUGU